UACCAUCUCUCUCAAGUUUCAAUUUCAGCAGACUAUUCUUUUUCGCCCUAGCCGCAUAGCCACAGUCGACAAUUCCUUCCCUCACCUCAUUCUCUUUGCCUCGUCCCUCUUUUGCCAUCCUCACUGAGUCAGUUUCCCAUCUCACCUCUGUAUAGAAUCCCCACCCCUCAAUAUCGCUGUAGCAUAGGUGAAAGGAAAACAUCGCUAGCCCCUUGACAUCGCGGCUGCUUAUCCUUCUCGGAUCAUUGAAGUAGCUCGUCGACGCUUCUUGCUGGGAGGGAGACGCACCCUUGCCGCAAAUUCCAGCAAAUUACUUGAGGAUAAAGUACUGAAGAUUUGGACAGAGAGCCUAGUAGACCACAGACUGGGUGAGGCCGUUCACAGUUUUGCAGUGUCCGUGUCACCUCACAGGCUACAGUGCAUUGGUA